CCUACGGGUGGCUGCAGUGGGGAAUAUUGGACAAUGGGCGAAAGCCUGAUCCAGCCAUGCCGCGUGUGUGAAGAAGGCCUUCGGGUUGUAAAGCACUUUCAGUGGGGAAGAAAGCCUUGGGGCUAAUACCCUCGAGGAAGGACAUCACCCACAGAAGAAGCACCGGCUAACUCCGUGCCAGCAGCCGCGGCAAUACGGAGGGUGCGAGCGUUAAUCGGAAUUACUGGGCGUAAAGCGCGCGUAGGCGGUCUGAUAAGCCGGUUGUGAAAGCCCCGGGCUCAACCUGGGAACGGCAUCCGGAACUGUCAGGCUAGAGUGCAGGAGAGGAAGGUAGAAUUCCCGGUGUAGCGGUGAAAUGCGUAGAGAUCGGGAGGAAUACCAGUGGCGAAGGCGGCCUUCUGGACUGACACUGACGCUGAGGUGCGAAAGCGUGGGUAGCAAACAGGAUUAGAUACCCCAGUAGUC
rnacentral:rRNA from 1 species